UCAAGCGAACAAGUGCAUGUGGUGGAUGCCUUGGCGAUCACAGGCGAUGAAGGACGCGGUAGCCUGCGAAAAGCUACGGGGAGCUGGCAAACGAGCUUUGAUCCGUAGAUGUCCGAAUGGGGAAACCCACUCCUUUUGGAGUAUCCAUGGCUGAAUACAUAGGCCAUGCGAAGCGAACGCGGUGAACUGAAACAUCUAAGUAACCGCAGGAAAAGAAAUCAACCGAGAUUCCCAAAGUAGUGGCGAGCGAAAUGGGAUGAGCCUUGCACUCUUUAUUUGUAUUGUUAGCCGAACGCUCUGGAAAGUGCGGCCAUAGCAGGUGAUAGCCCUGUAGGCGAAAACAGUAUGAAAGAACUAGGUGUGCGACAAGUAGGGCGGGACACGUGAAAUCCUGUCUGAAGAUGGGGGGACCAUCCUCCAAGGCUAAAUACUCGUGAUCGACCGAUAGUGAACCAGUACCGUGAGGGAAAGGCGAAAAGAACCCCGGGAGGGGAGUGAAAUAGAUCCUGAAACCGCAUGCAUACAAACAGUCGGAGCCUCGUAAGGGGUGACGGCGUACCUUUUGUAUAAUGGGUCAGCGACUUACGUUCAGUAGCAAGCUUAACCGUAUAGGGCAGGCGUAGCGAAAGCGAGUCCGAAUAGGGCGUUCAGUUGCUGGGCGUAGACCCGAAACCAGGUGAUCUAUCCAUGGCCAGGAUGAAGGUGCGGUAACACGUACUGGAGGUCCGAACCCACUAACGUUGAAAAGUUAGGGGAUGAGCUGUGGAUAGGGGUGAAAGGCUAAACAAACCUGGAAAUAGCUGGUUCUCUCCGAAAACUAUUUAGGUAGUGCCUCGUGUCUCACCUUCGGGGGUAGAGCACUGUCAUGGUUGGGGGGUCUAUUGCAGAUUACCCCGCCAUAGCAAACUCCGAAUACCGAAGAGUGCAAUCACGGGAGACAGACAUCGGGUGCUAACGUCCGGUGUCAAGAGGGAAACAACCCAGACCGCCAGCUAAGGUCCCCAAAUAUAGCUAAGUGGGAAACGAAGUGGGAAGGCUAAAACAGUCAGGAGGUUGGCUUAGAAGCAGCCACCCUUUAAAGAAAGCGUAAUAGCUCACUGAUCGAGUCGUCCUGCGCGGAAGAUGUAACGGGGCUAAGCUAUAUACCGAAGCUGCGGAUGCGUGCUUAGCACGCAUGGUAGGAGAGCGUUCCGUAAGCCUGCGAAGGUGCCUUGUAAAGGGUGCUGGAGGUAUCGGAAGUGCGAAUGCUGACAUGAGUAGCGAUAAAGGGGGUGAAAGGCCCCCUCGCCGUAAGCCCAAGGUUUCCUACGCAACGUUCAUCGGCGUAGGGUGAGUCGGCCCCUAAGGCGAGGCAGAAAUGCGUAGCUGAUGGGAAGCAGGUCAAUAUUCCUGCACCAUUGUUAGAUGCGAUGGGGGGACGGAUCGCGGAAGGUUGUCCGGGUGUUGGAAGUCCCGGUCGCUGCAUUGGAGAAGGCGCUUAGGCAAAUCCGGGCGCGGAAUUCAAGGGUGUGGCGCGAGCUCCUUAGGGAGCGAAGCAAUUGGAAGUGGUUCCAAGAAAAGCCUCUAAGCUUCAGUCUAACGAUGACCGUACCGCAAACCGACACAGGUGGGCGAGAUGAGUAUUCUAAGGCGCUUGAGAGAACUCGGGAGAAGGAACUCGGCAAAUUGGUACCGUAACUUCGGGAUAAGGUACGCCCUUGUAGCUUGACUGGCUUGCGCCAGAAGGGUGAAGGGGUUGCAAUAAACUGGUGGCUGCGACUGUUUAAUAAAAACACAGCACUCUGCAAACACGAAAGUGGACGUAUAGGGUGUGACGCCUGCCCGGUGCCGGAAGAUUAAAUGAUGGGGUGCAAGCUCUUGAUUGAAGUCCCGGUAAACGGCGGCCGUAACUAUAACGGUCCUAAGGUAGCGAAAUUCCUUGUCGGGUAAGUUCCGACCUGCACGAAUGGCGUAAUGAUGGCCAGGCUGUCUCCACCCGAGACUCAGUGAAAUUGAACUCGCUGUGAAGAUGCAGUGUACCCGCGGCAAGACGGAAAGACCCCGUGAACCUUUACUAUAGCUUUGCACUGGACUUUGAAGUUGUUUGUGUAGGAUAGGUGGGAGGCUUUGAAGCAGAGACGCUAGUCUUUGUGGAGCCAACCUUGAAAUACCACCCUGGCAACUUUGAGGUUCUAACUCUGGUCCGUUAUCCGGAUCGAGGACAGUGUAUGGUGGGUAGUUUGACUGGGGCGGUCUCCUCCCAAAGAGUAACGGAGGAGCACGAAGGUUAGCUAAUCACGGUCGGACAUCGUGAGGUUAGUGCAAAGGCAUAAGCUAGCUUGACUGCGAGAGUGACGGCUCGAGCAGGUACGAAAGUAGGUCUUAGUGAUCCGGUGGUUCUGAAUGGAAGGGCCAUCGCUCAACGGAUAAAAGGUAC
rnacentral:rRNA from 1 species